GUAGGUGGCAAGCGUUGUCCGGAAUUAUUGGGCGUAAAGCGCGCGCAGGCGGUUCUUUAAGUCUGAUGUGAAAGCCCACGGCUCAACCGUGGAGGGUCAUUGGAAACUGGAGAACUUGAGUACAGAAGAGGAAAGCGGAAUUCCACGUGUAGCGGUGAAAUGCGUAGAGAUGUGGAGGAACACCAGUGGCGAAGGCGGCUUUUCUGGUCUGUAACUGACGCUGAGGCGCGAAAGCGUGGGGAGCAAACAGGGAUUAGAUACCCUGGUAGUCCACGCCGUAAACGAUGAGUGCUAAGUGUUAGGGGGGUUUCCGCCCCCUUAGUGCUGCAGCUAACGCAUUAAGCACUCCGCCCCGGGGGAUACGGCCGCAAGGCUG
rnacentral:rRNA from 1 species